rnacentral:tRNA from 1 species
GCCCUUAUAGCUCAGUUGGGAGAGCGUCAGACUGAAGAUCUGAAGGUCAUUGGUUCAAUCCCGAUUGAGGGCA